GGAAGGGUACAGCUCAAGUGGUAGAGUGCCUGCUUGGCAUGCAUGAGGUCCUGGGUUCAGUCCCCAGUAAUUCCU
rfam:Camelus ferus unplaced genomic scaffold scaffold597, whole genome shotgun sequence.